UCGGUCCCUAUCUGCCGUGGGCGCUGGAGAAUUGAGGGGGGCUGCUCCUAGUACGAGAGGACCGGAGUGGACGCAUCACUGGUGUUCGGGUUGUCAUGCCAAUGGCAUUGCCCGGUAGCUAAAUGCGGAAGAGAUAAGUGCUGAAAGCAUCUAAGCACGAAACUUGCCCCGAGAUGAGUUCUCCCUGAGACUUUAAGUCUCCUGAAGGAACGUUAAAGACGAUGACGUUGAUAGGUCGGGUGUGUAAGCGUAGCGAUACGUUGAGCUAACCGAUACUAAUGAACCGUGAGGCUUAACCUU
rnacentral:rRNA from 2 species